rnacentral:snRNA from 1 species
UAAAAGGGCUCCGCGCCAAAUGCGCAGGCCGAAUGUGACGCGUUCGGUCCGGAAUGGUCAUCAAGACAUUUCGGGAGCGUAAUCUUUGAUCGUGGCAUGUCCGCCAUCGCGGGACGGCCUU